ACGCAGUGUAAGAAAUUCACAACUCUGAAAGAACAAAUAUUUAAAAAACGAAUAUGAAAUUUAAUAAUACUGAAAAUGUUAGGAAAUCUUUGAGGCAUUUUUGUUUGUCGUUGCCCUACACCCUAGCCCUGCCCCUUGGCUAUGAUGAAACCAUCCUUUGCUGCUACAACACUCGUCCACCAGUCUAAAGAAGCACUAUUGUUUUGUUUGUAUUUAGCCCCGAUUACCUUGCUAUUGUAGAAAAUGGACUGAUAGAGGUCUCCAACCAGACAAUUCACUUGAAAUACUUAUAUAAUAACAAUUUUAUACAAAAGUUUCUGUGAGGUAAAAUGCCUAUCUCAGAACUUUUUGCCAACAGUACAAAAUUAUAUUAAAGUCACCAGAUAUUUAUACUCAUUGUGACAGCCAAGUCAUAUCAUAUUAUUUCUUCAUUGACUAUUUACAUAGAUGACCCACACUGGAUUCCAUUUCCUCUUUCAUAUCUUUUCCUUACAUAUACUUUGCUUUAUGAGGGUCCACCAGUAUAUCUUCACUUCAGAAACAAAUAAUUUCCUUAAAAUUAAUGAAGAAACUCGAGUGAUCAUGAUCCAGAUUUAGAACUCCCAGGUUCCUCUCAAGCACCACGUCUGUCUGCAUGCCUCCAUGCUUCCAACCAUGAUGACUAUGGACAGUCUAAACCUCUGAACUAGUUCAAAUAUAAAACAAACAACAGACAGACGCUCAUCCAGUGAGCACAUAGAUGAACACCUGCAUCAAGGAACACUAAGGAGAAAGAUUGAGUGGUUUGGUUUAAUGUACUAUGGAUGGGAGAACUCUGCAUCAGAAAUAAAAGACUCCUGAAUUGUGAAAGAACUGAAACUAUCCCAAGCUAAGGCAUGGCAGCAUGUGCUUCCAUGAUCAACCACAAACAUGAAACAGAGAAACGGAACUGAAAGCAUGGUGAAGCUACACACUCUCAAAGCCUGCCUCUAAUGAGUAGACUUCCAGAAAGCCCACAUCAACUAAACCUUCUAAGCAGUUCCAUCAGCUCUGAAACAAGGAUUUAUAAGAUCGGGACUAUUGAAGACACUUCUGAUUCGAAAUACCACAAUCCCUAAGGUAUCACCAUCCUAUUUAAAAUGGCCUUACCUUUGACUAUACAUGGAAGUGCACUCAUUAUUUUACUGUCUUAUUUAAUGCUAAUUAAUUCUCUCUUAUUUAAUGAAAUCUUGUCAUAUCUUGAGGUCCUUGGUGAAUUUGGAGUUGAGAUUUUUGCAA